CUUCAAGAUAUUGCAUUUGUUCUGGUGAAUAAUUCCCUUCAGGCUUUUUGCAGUAAACACUGUCUUUUCAGAGAAAAUGCAGUGUUAUCAUUACAGCCUAGUGAUACCUCCACUGGCCACUGCUCAGAUGGCUACUAGAGGUGCUUCCUGUGGCAGUUUGGCUUGUACUGGCUCUGCCCCUGAUCUAUCACCUUGACAAGCUCAGCUAUGUGAAAGCGUUGUGAUUGGCUCAAAGAAUCACUUCUGAUGAUGUCAGCCAAGCAGGCAAAUCAGGGGCAGAGACAGCAU